rnacentral:rRNA from 1 species
AUUGAACGCUGGCGGCAUGCCUUACACAUGCAAGUCGAACGGCAGCGGGGACUUCGGUCCGCCGGCGAGUGGCGAACGGGUGAGUAAUGUAUCGGAACGUACCAUUCAGUGGGGGAUAACUAUCCGAAAGGAUAGCUAAUACCGCAUAUUCUGUGAGCAGGAAAGCAGGGGAUCGCAAGACCUUGCGCUGAUUGAGCGGCCGAUAUCAGAUUAGCUAGUUGGUGAGGUAACGGCUCACCAAGGCUACGAUCUGUAGCGGGUCUGAGAGGAUGAUCCGCCGCACUGGGACUGAGACACGGCCCAGACUCCUACGGGAGGCAGCAGUGGGGAAUUUUGGACAAUGGGCGCAAGCCUGAUCCAGCCAUGCCGCGUGAGUGAAGAAGGCCUUCGGGUUGUAAAGCUCUUUCGGCCGGGAAGAAAUCGCAUCAGCUAAUACCUGGUGUGGAUGACGGUACCGGAAUAAGAAGCACCGGCUAACUACGUGCCAGCAGCCGCAGUAA